UUGAAGCGCAGCCAUCUCCAACGGCCUUUGGGAAGCAUACCUAGGACGCAUGGAGGGAAAAGGUGAGGGGCUGGCUCCCCUGGCCACGGCGCCCCGGCCACCUCCUUUAACACCUCAGGAUCACGUACCGAGCCACCAGGUUCCACGCCUGGCUCUCUGGACGGCAGCAGCCAAACUGAGCAUGUGCGAAAUGCUGCUGCGCUGAGCUCUGCGGCUCGGGGGCUCGGGUCUCCGCCUGUUCCGCGCACUGAGUCGGAAAAAGCCGCGAGUGCAAGGGCGCUUCCCUUCCGCCUUCCCAAGAGCCGCUUCCGCGAGGAUCUCUGAAGCCCAAGCUUCUCGCAGAAGCUGCUCGCCGCCAUGACAGGGCAGAAAUUGAAGGCACGUAAUUUGGAAACCAUACCAGCUUUGAAAUAAAAAGUACACCCUGCGUUGCAGUGUUAUUGUGAGAAAUGAAUGAGUCAGUGCAUGUAAAGUGCUUACAAGAGUGACCAGCACGUCGCCGUCAUCACCAUCAUCAUCCGUGUUCAGUUCUUGCUGUGAGACGCUGGAAGGAUGGAGCUGUCAUCUACUGAGAGAGGGAAGACCGUGUGAAGAGCAGGUUCAAGCUGAUAGGUUAAGGUUGACAGGACUGAAACAACUGUGUGCUGUCAAGCAGGUACUUGGUCACACAAGUCUGGGGUUAAGGAGAGGGGACAUCUGUGUAAAGAUAGUUUAAAACCAUGAAAUUGGAGGAGAUCUCUAAGGGAGUGUAUAUAUAGGACGAAGGACUAGGCUGGGGGCCAUCCAGUAUUUAAGUAUGAGGAUGCAAAGACGAACUAUCAAAGAAGACAGAAGAAUGACCAAAGAGUUUGGCAUCCUGGAAGCCAAGUGAAGG